rnacentral:rRNA from 1 species
AUUGAACGCUGGCGGCAGGCCUAACACAUGCACGUCGAACGAGUGGCGGACGGGUGAGUAAUGUCUGGGAAACUGCCCGAUGGAGGGGGAUAACUACUGGAAACGGUAGCUAAUACCGCAUACCAUCGGAUGUGCCCCGAUGGGAUUGGCUAGUAGGUGGGGUACCGGCGCACCUAGGCGACGAUACCUCGCUGGUCUGAGAGGAUGCCCAGCCAUACUGGAACGGAGACACGGUCCAGGUUCCUACGAGAGGCAGCAGUGGGGAAUAUUGCGCAAGGGGCGGAAGCCUGAUGCAGCCAGGCCGAGUGUAUGAAGAAGGCCUUCGGGUUGGAAAGUACUUUCAGCGAGGAGGCGUUACGCGCAGAAGAAGCACCGGCGAACUCCGUGCCAGCGGCCGCGGUAAUAC